rnacentral:ncRNA from 1 species
UUGACGGAGAGUUUGAUCCUGGCUCAGGACGAACGCUGGCGGCGUGCUUAAUACAUGCAAGUCGAACGAUCCCGGGACUUCGGUCCCAAUGGGAGAGUGGCGAACGGGUGCGUAACACGUGAGAAACCUGUCCCGAAGAUGGGAAUAGCCCAGGGAAACCUGGAUUAAUACCCAAUACCCUGAGAGCGUCGCAUGGCGCACUUAGGAAAUGUUCCGGCGCUUUGGGAGGGUCUCGCGGCCUAUCAGCUUGUUGGUGAGGUAAAGGCUCACCAAGGCAUCGACGGGUAGCUGGUCUGAGAGGACGAUCAGCCACACUGGGACUGAGACACGGCCCAGACUCCUACGGGAGGCAGCAGUAGGGAAUCUUGCGCAAUGGGCGAAAGCCUGACGCAGCAACGCCGCGUGGGGGA